rnacentral:tRNA from 1 species
GCCGGAGUGGCGGAAUUGGUAUACGCGGCGGUCUCAAAAACCGUUCCCGAUUUUCGGGACGAGGGUUCGAGUCCCUCCUCCGGCACCA